AGAUGUUCCUCGAGCCCUGGAUCACGUGUCACCUGUUCGAUCGGGGCUGCGCUGCGAUGCAGUUGGGAUUAUUCGUACAAUGAAAAACAUAAAAUCAUCAUAGCCUCCAUUUUACAAUGCAGUUCAUAGUAAUGUGGAAGUAAUCCGGAGAGGGUAACCAAAUUUACAGACUGUAGCAAUGACUACUGGAACUGUGGAAGACAUGGAACCUACCCAUGAGGAAAUACAGUUGCCAGAUUUGGUAUUACUUAGUGACAGUCAAAAUUCACAGCCUUUUGAUGCAAUUUCCAGUCAGGACACUCAGCUUACUUCUGAUACGGUAGACUUGACAGAUGUGGAAGCAAUGGAGAUCGAUUAUGGACAGGAUUAUAGAAAUCAGAUGAGGGUGAUGAUGCCCUUCCUCAUGGACUCAGACAUACUGCCGGCCAGAAGCAUAGCGUUGUACACUUCCAGCAGGUCUGGGCCCAUCCAGUUCCACAGCGCCGAGUACAACUCAGCCGGUAAGCCGUCAC